rnacentral:rRNA from 1 species
UACGUAGGGGCAAGCGUUGUCCGGAAUCAUUGGGCGUAAAGCGCGUGUAGGCGGCCUUGUAAGUCCGUUCUGAAAGUCCGGGGCUCAACCCCCGGGAGGCGGAUGGAUACUGCAAGGCUCGAGUCCGGAAGAGGCAAGUGGAAUUCCCGGUGUAGCGGUGAAAAUUCGUAGAUAUCGAGAGGAACACCGGUGGCGAAGGCGGUUCUCUGGGCCUGUACUGACGCUGAGGAGCGAAAGCGUGGGGAGCGAACAGG